CUGCAAGCCUCCAGCGUGCCUGGGCCUGGGGGUGGCCCCGCGCAUUCCUACAGUGCUUGCAAGAACACUUGGAAACGGUUUGAGGCCUUGCCCUGCUCCAUCCAGAGCAAGGUUAUAGAAAUUUCCAACAGCU
ensembl:snoRNA